rnacentral:rRNA from 1 species
AGUGAACGCUGGCGGCGUGCUUAACACAUGCAAGUCGAACGAGAACGGAUUAUAGCUUGCUAUAAUUGUCAGCUAAGUGGCGCACGGGUGAGUAAUGUAUAGGUAAUAUGCCUCUUACUAAGGGAUAACAAAUGGAAACGUUUGCUAAUACCUUAUACUCCUUAUUAACAGAAGUUAAUAAGGGAAAGAUUUAUUGGUAAGAGAUUAGCCUGUAUUGUAUCAGUUAGUUGGUGGGGUAAUGGCUUACCAAGACUAUGACACAUAACUGGUUUGAGAGGAUGAUCAGUCACACUGGAACUGAGACACGGUCCAGACUCCUACGGGAGGCAGCAGUGGGGAAUAUUGGACAAUGGGCGAAAGCCUGAUCCAGCCACGCCGCGUGAAUGAUGAAGGCCUUCGGGUCGUAAAGUUCUUUUAGUGGGGACGAAGGGCAACUUGACGGUACCCACAGAAAAAGCACCGGCUAACUCUGUGCCAGCCGCCGCCGUAA